AGUUCACUUCUUAGUAGCGAAGCUAACGCGUUAAGUUCUCCGCCUGGGGAGUACGGCCGCAAGGUUAAAACUCAAAGAAAUUGACGGGGGCCCGCACAAGCGGUGGAGCAUGUGGUUUAAUUCGAUGCAACGCGAAAAACCUUACCUACCCUUGACAUCCUCGGAACUUGUCAGAGAUGAUUUGGUGCCUUCGGGAACCGAGUGACAGGUGCUGCAUGGCUGUCGUCAGCUCGUGUCGUGAGAUGUUGGGUUAAGUCCCGUAACGAGCGCAACCCUCGUCCUUAGUUGCCAGCGAGUCAAGUCGGGAACUCUAAGGAGACUGCCGGUGAUAAACCGGAGGAAGGUGGGGAUGAUGUCAAGUCAUCAUGGCCCUUACGGGUAGGGCUACACACGUGCUACAAUGGGCAGUACAAAGGGUUGCCAAGCCGCGAGGUGGAGCUAAUCCCAGAAAACUGCUCGUAGUCCGGAUUGGAGUCUGCAACUCGACUCCAUGAAGUUGGAAUCGCUAGUAAUCGCGAAUCAGCAUGUCG
rnacentral:rRNA from 1 species